rnacentral:rRNA from 1 species
GAUGAACGCUGGCGGCGUGCCUAAUACAUGCAAGUAGAACGCUGAAGGAAGGAGCUUGCUCUUUCCGGAUGAGUUGCGAACGGGUGAGUAACGCGUAGGUAACCUGCCUGGUAGCGGGGGAUAACUAUUGGAAACGAUAGCUAAUACCGCAUAACAGUAGAUAUUGCAUGAUAUCUGCUUGAAAGGGGCAAUUGCUCCACUACCAGGUGGACCUGCGUUGUAUUAGCUAGUUGGUGAGGUAACGGCUCACCAAGGCGACGAUACAUAGCCGACCUGAGAGGGUGAUCGGCCACACUGGGACUGAGACACGGCCCAGACUCCUACGGGAGGCAGCAGUAGGGAAUCUUCGGCAAUGGACGGAAGUCUGACCGAGCAACGCCGCGUGAGUGAAGAAGGUUUUCGGAUCGUAAAGCUCUGUUGUAAGAGAAGAACGAGUGUGAGAGUGGAAAGUUCACACUGUGACGGUAUCUUACCAGAAAGGGACGGCUAACUACGUG